rnacentral:rRNA from 1 species
UACGUAGGGUGCAAGCGUUGUCCGGAAUUAUUGGGCGUAAAGAGCUCGUAGGCGGUCCGUCACGUCGGCUGUGAAAACCUGGGGCUCAACCCCGGGCCUGCAGCCGAUACGGGCGGACUAGAAUUCGGUAGGGGAGAAUGGAAUUCCCGGUGUAGCGGUGAAAUGCGCAGAUAUCGGGAGGAACACCGGUGGCGAAGGCGGUUCUCUGGGCCUUACCUGACGCUGAGGAGCGAAAGCGUGGGGAGCGAACAGG